CCUACGGGUGGCAGCAGUGGGGAAUAUUGCACAAUGGGGGAAACCCUGAUGCAGCGACGCCGCGUGAGUGAAGAAGUAUUUCGGUAUGUAAAGCUCUAUCAGCAGGGGAGAAAAUGACGGUACCUGAUUAAGAAGCCCCGGCUAACUACGUGCCAGCAGCCGCGGUAAUACGUAGGGGGCAAGCGUUAUCCGGAUUUACUGGGUGUAAAGGGGGCGUAGACGGCAGCGCAAGUCUGAAGUGAAAUGCCGGGGCUUAACCCCGGAACUGCUUUGGAAACUGGUGGGCUUGAGUAUCGGAGAGGCAGGCGGAAUUCCUAGUGUAGCGGUGAAAUGCGUAGAUAUUAGGAGGAACACCAGUGGCGAAGGCGGCCUGCUGGACGACAACUGACGGUGAGGCGCGAAAGCGUGGGGAGCAAACAGGAUUAGAUACCCUGGUAGUC
rnacentral:rRNA from 1 species